rnacentral:rRNA from 1 species
CCGCUGAACUUAAGCAUAUCAAUAAGCGGAGGAAAAGAAACCAACAGGGAUUGCCUCAGUAACGGCGAGUGAAGCGGCAACAGCUCAAAUUUGAAAUCUGGUCCUUGCGGCCCGAGUUGUAAUUUGCAGAGGAUGCUUUUGGCGCGGUGCCUUCCAAGUUCCCUGGAACGGGACGCCUUAGAGGGUGAGAGCCCCGUACGGUUGGACACCAAGCCUUUGUAAAGCUCCUUCGACGAGUCGAGUAGUUUGGGUAAUGCUGCUCUAAAUGGGAGGUAUAUUUCUUCUAAAGCUAAAUACCGGCCAGAGACCGAUAGCGCACAAGUAGAGUGAUCGAAAGAUGAAAAGCACUUUGAAAAGAGGGUUAAACAGCACGUGAAAUUGUUAAAAGGGAAGCGCUUGUGACCAGACUUGCGCCCGGUGAAUCACCCAGCUCUCGCGGCUGGGGCACUUUGCCGGCUCAGGCCAGCAUCAGCUUGCCGUCGGGGACAAAAGCUUCGGGAACGUAGCUCUCUUCGGGGAGUGUUAUAGCCCGUUGCAUAAUACCCUUCGGCGGGCUGAGGUACGCGCUCCGCAAGGAUGCUGGCAUAAUGGUCAUCAGCAACCCGUCUUGAAACACGGACCAAGGAGUCAACCUUAUGUGCGAGUGUUUGGGUG